rnacentral:rRNA from 1 species
GACGAACGCUGGCGGCGUGCUUAACACAUGCAAGUCGAACGGAAAGGCCCUGCUUUUGUGGGGUGCUCGAGUGGCGAACGGGUGAGUAACACGUGAGUAACCUGCCCUUGACUUUGGGAUAACUUCAGGAAACUGGGGCUAAUACCGGAUAGGAGCUCCUGCUGCAUGGUGGGGGUUGGAAAGUUUCGGCGGUUGGGGAUGGACUCGCGGCUUAUCAGCUUGUUGGUGGGGUAGUGGCUUACCAAGGCUUUGACGGGUAGCCGGCCUGAGAGGGUGACCGGCCACAUUGGGACUGAGAUACGGCCCAGACUCCUACGGGAGGCAGCAGUGGGGAAUAUUGCACAAUGGGCGGAAGCCUGAUGCAGCAACGCCGCGUGCGGGAUGACGGCCUUCGGGUUGUAAACCGCUUUCGCCUGUGACGAAGCGUGAGUGACGGUAAUGGGUAAAGAAGCACCGGCUAACUACGUGCCAGCAGCCGCGGUGAUACGUAGGGUGCGAGCGUUGUCCGGAUUUAUUGGGCGUAAAGGGCUCGUAGGUGGUUGAUCGCGUCGGAAGUGUAAUCUUGGGGCUUAACCCUGAGCGUGCUUUCGAUACGGGUUGACUUGAGGAAGGUAGGGGAGAAUGGAAUUCCUGGUGGAGCGGUGGAAUGCGCAGAUAUCAGGAGGAACACCAGUGGCGAAGGCGGUUCUCUGGGCCUUUCCUGACGCUGAGGAGCGAAAGCGUGGGGAGCGAACAGGCUUAGAUACCCUGGUAGUCCACGCUGUAAACGGUGGGUACUAGGUGUGGGGUCCAUUCCACGGGUUCCGUGCCGUAGCUAACGCUUUAAGUACCCCGCCUGGGGAGUACGGCCGCAAGGCUAAAACUCAAAGGAAUUGACGGGGCCCCGCACAAGCGGCGGAGCAUGCGGAUUAAUUCGAUGCAACGCGUAGAACCUUACCUGGGUUUGACAUGGAUCGGGAGUGCUCAGAGAUGGGUGUGCCUCUUUUGGGGUCGGUUCACAGGUGGUGCAUGGCUGUCGUCAGCUCGUGUCGUGAGAUGUUGGGUUAAGUCCCGCAACGAGCGCAACCCUUGUUCACUGUUGCCAGCACGUUAUGGUGGGGACUCAGUGGAGACCGCCGGGGUCAACUCGGAGGAAGGUGGGGAUGACGUCAAGUCAUCAUGCCCCUUAUGUCCAGGGCUUCACGCAUGCUACAAUGGCUGGUACAGAGAGUGGCGAGCCUGUGAGGGUGAGCGAAUCUCGGAAAGCCGGUCUCAGUUCGGAUUGGGGUCUGCAACUCGACCUCAUGAAGUCGGAGUCGCUAGUAAUCGCAGAUCAGCAACGCUGCGGUGAGUACGUUCCCGGGGCU